CUUGUGCGCACGCUCAGUGACUCCGUGCAUGUGUUUCACGUGCACCCGCGGGCGUGCAUUCCCUUCCGUUUCGCUCAUCGCUCUUGUGAUUUGUGGUUCUUCGCCCCUCCCACUUCCCUCAGUCCGCUUGCUUGUUGUUCCGUCGUCGCACGUCUCGUGUUUUCGCCUGCUUGUUCCCCUGCCGCACGCAUCGAGGCAGCUUAGUGACAGGGCCAUCUCGUUCCCCGUGCACUUCCUCCUCCCUCCUCCCACUCCCUGCGCGCCUACAUACGCCGACUCUCUCGUGUGCCUGCGUGCAGGUGGCGCCGUUGCUGUCGUUGCAGCAUUUGGUGAAGUGCUUGUAUGACUGUCAUUCAUUUAGGCGAAGAGUGUGUACUCACCGUUCUCUGUGUAUGUGGGCGUGUCGGGGCAUGGGCGAUCAAGUCUGAAGAGGUGCCGACGAGCGCGUUCUUUUAGUUUUCUUCUCUACCGACUUUAUUGCCUGAGCCUCCCCUUUCUCACACAUACGCAUGUGCACGUGUGUGCACGCGCUUCUCUCCAUCAUGACCCGUCUGCCUCGCGGACGACGCUGUGCGGCGGUGGUCGCCCUGCUCGCCUUGUUUGCCGUGGUGCUGAGUCAUGCCACCAAGAUCACGUACGUGGGUGUCUUCCAGGCGACCGAGGGGGAGACGACAACGGUUUUGCUGAAAGUCGGUGCGCUGAAGGCCGAGUGUAUUGCCGGUACUCUCACGUACAACGUUGACGAUGAUCACGGCAACAAGGCCACGUUCCCAAACAUGCAUGACCCCAGAAUGGAGUUUACGGCUGCCAUCACCGACAUGACCUCCGGCGUGCGGACGACGUACGUGGACCUCGUGGUGGUGUGCAAUGACACCACGCCCGUCGGUGGGACGUCGCGCGUGUACUUCCGUAUCUCGCCGAGAACGACGACGACCACCCUUGCUCCGUCCAUGACGUGCAAGAGUCCCGGCGACGCGGUGGUGGUGGGCCCCAUGUCAGCGGUUUUCCCUGCGAAUACCUAUACUUCCAGCUGCCACCAUCCCUCGCUGGACAUCGCCGAUGUCACAGGCCCGUCUUACGAUGCGAAGUCGCUCUUCUCUGUUGAGAUGACCAACAAGUCGCAGGCGCUCGUCUUCAACGCGAAUAAGACGGACACCCUGCCUGGAAAGUACACGGCAACGAUCCUUGUCAGCUGCGGCAGCUCCUCGUGUGUGGUAAAACAGGUGGUGGUUGUACUGCCGCCGACGACCACAACGACCGCUGCUCCGGUCAUGCAGUGCCCUGGCAACUACAACUACUCACUGAUUCUGAAUUCAGAUGGCAUCUUAAUCGAGCAAAUCUUCAACCUCUCCGCUCGCGCCGCUGCUACCGGCAUGUUCUGCACUUCGGGCAUAAUCUCGGCGACGCUGAAGGAGCCCGCUCAUGGUGCGCUUCGGUGGAACAACACGGGCACCUUCGUCUACACCCCCUCAACCCUCGAGGAGGGCGAUGACAUCGACUACUUUGAGUUCCAGCUGACAUGCUCGAACGAGGGCACCAAGUGCGCCGGCACGGUGAUCAUCUCCAUCGUCAGCGAGGAAAAGGACGAGAUCUACUACGCUAUGGAGGGCGCCAUCGUCUGUCGCGGCACCUGCGACGCAGCCGCGUGGCGCACCAGCCCGACGGCGCUCGACCUCUUCGACGUGAACAAGACCGGUGUCGCAGUGACGCCGCGCAAGGACGUCCGCGCCGUGGACGGAGUCGACUUUGGCUUCACGGCUAGUGGCGACCUUGUCAUCCAUGCGUACACCACGAUCGGCAACCUUGCUGCCCGCUUUGUGACUUUCUACCCCAUUACGGAGGCCAGCGUGCCGGGGCUCUUCAACUCCACCGCGGUCCCGGACGGCUCGCACGUCUCCUUUGAGCCGUCAUGCCUCAAUAAGCAGGCGAUCACCGGCCAGGGCACAGACAUUUGGAGCUGGACGGACCUCGAUGUGCUGAAGGGCCACCUCAACACACAGGCCGACGCAUACAAGUCGGGCGACAACUACUACCAGAAGUUUGGAGGUAACCACCGCCACUGCGAUGUGUACCGCGUGGAUCCGUGCAAGUACGCACCUCUCAUGACGCCGACGCUGAACGACAACAACAACAACGUGUACAACAACGCGACACCGUCUGUGCAGUGGAAGCUGUACAUCAAUGAUUGCGACGCAACAUGGGUGGGCAAGGCGUCGGUGGAGUCGCUGCGCGCGCUGCGCCAGCCGGACGGCUCUCCAACCUUCAGGCUGGAGGGCAACGGCACGUACUUGGUCGGCGCCGUGUACUCACAGUCGGUGAAGCCGGCGAGCUGGACGUCCCCGUUGGCCGGCAUCGUGCACUCGGAGACGGCUUACGAGGUGCGCCUCAAGAUCCACAAUAUGAUCAUCGUCGACGCUCUCGCGCGUCCUUCCAGCGACGCUACCGCUCCACUGCUGCAGAUGAGCUCCGAUAUUCAGUACUCGGCAGGUAAACGAACAGACACUCAGGAGCGUCUGUAUCGCUAUUCCGUUCUGCUCUACCCGUACUUUGAGGCCAACAAGACGGCUGCCGACAUCACAUCUCUCUCGCUCAAGGUUGUCUCCACGACGCUACUGAACUCGACGUGGACGUCGCCGAGCAAGGUGGAGUGCCCGAUGUGCACCGGGACGAUGAUCAGCUGCACGGGUACCGGAAACGGAUUUGAGACGGACUGCGGCGACAAGGCACUCAUGACGUUUGAGGCGCUCGAUUACAACGCAUCUGACUUUGAGGGCUCCAUCGUCAACGACGGCUCCUCCGGCAAGUCUGCGAGUACGUCGGUGAGCCCGAAGAACGCGCUGCGCGUGACGUUUGCCGUGCGCGUGAACGGUGCAGGGUCGGCCGAUGCGACAGACGCCUACCCGGUCGGCACCUUCGCCAUAUCUGUGAAGCUGUCGAGCGGCCAAGUUUUCGAUGUCGUCGUGAACCAGACAGACUACAUCAGCGAGCUCAACACGCGCUUCCUCGACACGCAGAUAUGCCGUCCGAGCGCGUACUGGCCGGUGCCGGAUCCGCUGGGAUCGUCGGUUCCAGUGAAGCCGUACAGCGCCGAUACUCUCGCCUUCCCCUCUGGCAGCUACACAACCGAAGAGCAAGAAGUGAAAAGGGAGAGCGAGAGCUACUAUGGCGUCCCGGAGCGACUGACAAGUCCGAGCGUGUGCGUCACGCCACCGAACGCGGACAGAACCCACAUUGAUCUGGACAAUAUGACGGCCACCAUCGAGAACGAAAAGGGGCAGGUGACGGUGUCCAUGUGCGCCGUGGCGGACGAGCGGACGUUUGGCACGACGGACUGGGUCAUGUUUUCCUUCCCCCGCAUCCACGAGGAGACCAAGGAGAUCAACGACGACGAGAUACAGAGCAUCAUAGAUGACGAAACGCUUAGCAACAACUCCUAUACCGUAGCGCAGCUGCAGUACUUGACGCUGUCCGUGCACGCGUCGGAGGUGAUGUCGAGCCUGCUCGCAGGCGACUCGGCGAACGGCUAUGUCAACAUUUUGCUCGACGGCGACAACGCCCCCAAGUCCCAGCGCGGAGAAGAGGAGACCUGGAUGCACCCAGAGAGCAGCUCGUCGUCCGGCCAGUCGGACGCAUACCUGCCGUGGGAAAUGUACGCUUCCUCGCUGAACUACCGCCGCAUUGCCCACCACACCAACGCCAACAAAAGCGAAACCGAGCCCUUCAACUUUGCCUUCAUCCCCGGCUCCCUGCUGCACUCUGGAAGCAGCAUUCGUGUUCCCAUGAUUAUUCGCGCCGCGAUCAAGUUCGUCACCUACGCUUUCACGGCGGCCAACUCCACGCACUCCUCGCAGCGUGUGAAGAAGAGCGAGCGUGAGGAGACGCUGCUGUACAUUGUCCCCGUGAGCCGCGGCAUCUCUUCCGCCCUGCGCUUCGACACGGACAUCUACACCCCGGUCAUCACCCAGUCGGGCAUCGCCCCAAAGCCGGCCACCGCCAUUCUCAUCGUGCUCAUCGUGGCCGUCGUGUGUGUGCUCGCUGCGUUCGUGUACGUGGAGGUGACGUACAAGCGCAUCAUCCACAAUGCUAAAUAUCACCCGAAGCGGCCAGACAGCCCCGUGGGCAUCCGCUACGGCCGUGACGGCAAACCAAAGGAAAAUCAGAAGACAGCCAGGGAGAGCAGCCGCACGGAGGCUGGCGUGCCGUUCUCUGCGUCCAAGGCGCACACGGCGAGCGGCGCAGCCACAGGCGACGCCACGACGCCCUCGCUCAAGACAAAGUUCGGCAUCGUGUUUGGAGAGCAGAAGCGCGUACCGGAGUCGGUGGCCGACUCCGGCUCCGCGUCGAGCGAGGACGGCGGCUCAGCGAAGCCGGUCGAUGACUACAUUGCAGAAAAUCCUCCCAUCGGAGAGGAGCAGCCGCGCGUCGAGGACGAUGAGGUCGCGGAGUUGUAAUUGCGCCGCCGCCACCCAACUUCACCGAGGCGUCUGCGUGCCACAGCGGCAGCGCAGCGCUGGCACAGGCACUCCCCCGUUUCUCCUCUCCUAUCUUCGCUUGCCUCCCCUCUUUUUUCAGUGUCAGCUUGUGUGUGCGAAGACGGGGCGUGCCGGCUGUGGCUCUCAUGCGUCGACGGGUGCUGCCCCAGAGGCUGAGCGGUCACGACGUUAGGAAAGAACUAGAGCAUUCUGAGUAGCGGAGAGGGCGAGGAGCGAGCGGCGGGGAUGCAGGAAAUGGGGAGGGGGGCGAUCGCCCGCCCCACUGCAAAUGAGGUGCCGCUGAAGACGCCCCAUGGACGUUGCUGAGAUGCGUGCCAGAAGUACUUAAAGGACGUUUUUGCCUUCGUUUUUCAUCUCUUUUUUUAGUGGGUUCUCUCUCGCUUAUGCGUGCGCCGACUUCAUUCUCGAACCUGCGAUCCCCGACUGCGUGGCCAAGGGCACGUUGGCGUGCGCUCGUGCGAUGAUGCGACUGCCUUCAGUCCUGCGGAGUCAAGGCACGGGGUUUGGGAAGGCAGACAGGGACGUUAGCACGAUUCUCAGUCGUAGGAUGGCGUCCACGGAUGCCUACGCGGGCGGAAGUGCACGCUGAAGUGGUACGCUCAGUAGCCGAGAGGUGAGAUGAGACCUAAAUCUCUGAGUGUAGGCUGAGAAGUAAGCACGGCUUUGAUGGCUAAAGAGAGUUCAGGAUGCAUGGAGGGAGGAAAGGGGGCGGGGUAGGGUGAAGGUUUCUUUGCAGGCGCAUGCACGUGCGCUUCACCAUGAGGUUGAUGGUGAAUCUAGUGCCCACGUCGGGUGAGAGUAGGUGGACAGGUGCGGUGAGUGCGAGGAUGAGUUGGGGCUGCGGUUACAGGCAAAGGGAGAAGACAAAGAUGGCAACAGAAGAUGCGCGUGGGCGGUGCAUUCGGUGCACAGGCACUCCACACUCGUCGUCCAUGCAUGUCAGCGCGUGACAUUGCCCGUAGUCCUCUCUCCCUCUCGCUUUCCUCCCGCCCCUCUCCGCCAUUCCCCCACCCCGCAACGCGGCCCUCCGUCCGCCUGGUCGUUUUUUAGCAGGUCGACAAGUUCCUGUAUUUCUUCCUGCUCGCUAGCCAAGCGUGCUGUACAAUCUGUAUUGGUGUAUCUGUAACCGCGGCAUGUGUCCUGUGAAAACUGUGUUGCUCUUUUUUCGCAUCUCUCGUAGGCAUCGUGUUUGAUGUUGUUUUCUCAUAUGGGGAGGCGAGGUGGUAUCGUUGUCCUUAUGGAGCUGAUGCUGGCGUUGUUGUGUUUGUGGCGAAGGUAUCGUCGCCUCUGGCUGUCCGCCCGUGUCCUUGCUUCCCCCUUCUUGCUCCCUUUGUUUGGAUAUUGUGUUGGUGUUGUCCCCACAAAUGGAAGUACGUGAAAG
rnacentral:misc_RNA from 1 species